UUUGAGCCGAGGGGCCUUGCGGAAACGACAGGUUGGCGCUAAUCGGAAACGAUAGCAAGUGAGCCCGCAUCAUACCGAAAUCUGAACUGCGGCGUGAUGAGAUACUGUGCCUAUCGCAAGAGGCACGUCAGAUAGUAGCAAA
rnacentral:ncRNA from 1 species